rnacentral:tRNA from 154 species
GACUUAAAAAAUCCGUCGACUUUUAAAAUCGUGAGGGUUCAAGUCCCUCUAUCCCCA